rnacentral:rRNA from 1 species
UACGUAGGGGGCAAGCGUUGUCCGGAAUCAUUGGGCGUAAAGCGCGUGUAGGCGGCCCGGUAAGUCCGCUGUGAAAGUCGGGGGCUCAACCCUCGAAUGCCGGUGGAUACUGUCGGGCUAGAGUGCGGGAGAGGCGAGUGGAAUUCCUGGUGUAGCGGUGAAAUGCGCAGAUAUCAGGAAGAACACCCGUGGCGAAAGCGGCUCUCUGGGACGGUACUGACGCUGAGACGCGAAAGCGUGGGGAGCAAACAGG